GUAUGUUAAUUUUGCCCUUUUGUUCUGUCUUGGGAAGUAUAUAAAAGCAACAACGCAAGCUCAGUCUUGUUUUGGUUGCUAGAGGCCCGAUAAUGAAGUCGAAUUUGGUUAUCUUCUUCUUAGUAAGUGUGGGAAUUAUGCUGGCGGUGGCUGCGGAAGCGUCCGCCGAAGACACUUCUUCGGCUCCGGCGGCGGCUCCGGGCAGCGUCAACAACAACGGGAACGCCGGAGUUAAAAACCACGACGGUUCCAGUGGUCAAGGUAGUGAUCGAUACGCAGGCGACCACAACCACGGAAAGACCAAUUAACGACAUGAUUCCCCACUUUAUUAAUGGCUGUUUUCCUUCGACCUGUAUCGCUUUGUAACCGUUUUUUUACAAAUAAACUCUGUAUUUUCGCA